rnacentral:tRNA from 1 species
GGAAGCUUGGCAGAGUCUGGUUUAUUGCACUAGUCUUGAAAACUAGAGGUCCUGGGGACAGGUUCCGUGAGUUCAAAUCUCACAGCUUCCU